rfam:Camelus ferus unplaced genomic scaffold scaffold1890, whole genome shotgun sequence.
GAGGGUGUAGCUCAGUGGUACAGUGCCUGCUUAGCAUGCAGGAGGUCCUGGGUUCGAUCCCCAGUGCCUCCU